rnacentral:misc_RNA from 1 species
GAUGAAGAACGUAGCGAAAUGCGAUAAGUAGUGUGAAUUGCAGAAUUCAGUGAAUCAUCGAAUCUUUGAACGCACAUUGCGCCCUUUGGUAUUCCAAAGGGCAUGCCUGUUCGAGCGUCAUUUGUACCCUCAAGCUUUGCUUGGUGUUGAGCGUCUUGUCUCUAGCUUUGCUGGAGACUCGCCUUAAAGUAAUUGGCAGCCGGCCUACUGGUUUCGGAGCGCAGCACAAGUCGCACUCUCUAUCAGCAAAGGUCUAGCAUCCAUUAAGCCUUUUUUUUCAACUUUUGACCUCGGAUCAGGUAGGGAUACCCGCUGAACUUAAGCAUAUCAUAAGCGGAGGA